rnacentral:rRNA from 1 species
GAUGAACGCUGGCGGCGUGCCUAAUACAUGCAAGUCGAGCGAACAGACGAGGAGCUUGCUCCUCUGACGUUAGCGGCGGACGGGUGAGUAACACGUGGAUAACCUACCUAUAAGACUGGGAUAACUUCGGGAAACCGGAGCUAAUACCGGAUAAUAUAUUGAACCGCAUGGUUCAAUAGUGAAAGACGGUUUUGCUGUCACUUAUAGAUGGAUCCGCGCCGCAUUAGCUAGUUGGUAAGGUAACGGCUUACCAAGGCAACGAUGCGUAGCCGACCUGAGAGGGUGAUCGGCCACACUGGAACUGAGGCACGGUCCAGACUCCUACGGGAGGCAGCAGUAGGGAAUCUUCCGCGAUGGGCGAAAGCUUGACGGAGCAACGCCGCGUGAGUGAUGAAGGUCUUCGGAUCGUAAAACUCUGUUAUUAGGGAAGAACAAAUGUGUAAGUAACUAUGCACGUCUUGACGGUACCUAAUCAGAAAGCCACGGCUAACUACGUG